GGUCAAGUUAUUAAGGGUUUACGGUGGAUGCCUUGGGACCAAGAGCCGAAGAAGGGCGUGGUAAGACUACGAUAAGCCUCGAUCAGCUGUCUAACAAGCUUAGUCGAGGGUUCCCGAAUGGGGAAACCCGUUCUGGGUUAUACCAGAACAUUCCGCAAGGAAAGGUAAGUGUGUGAACUGAAACAUCUAAGUAACAUGAGGAAAAGAAAUUAAAGAGAUUCCCUUAGUAGUGGCGAACGAAAUGGGAAUAGCCCAAACCGGUAGGGCUUAGUGGGUUGAGGCCCUAUGUCCUUCCGGGGUUGUAACGCAUUCUAGUUUUCUCCUCAAAGAAAACAAGGAGUUACAAAAUCUUUUUUUAAUCGAACGUACCUGGAAAGGUCGAUCAUAGAAGGUGAUAAUCCUGUAGAUGAAAAGAAAAGAUCUCCUAGAGUGUUGUUGAGUACCACGGGACACGAGAAAUCUUGUGGGAACCUGGGGAGACCACUCUCCAAGGCUAAAUACUCUUGGUCACCGAUAGUGAACCAGUACUGUGAAGGAAAGGUGAAAAGUACCCCGGGAGGGGAGUGAAAUAGACCUGAAACCGUAAACUUACAAGCCGUAGGAGACUCGAUGCGUCGAGUUGACUGCGUGCCUAUUGAAGAAUGAGCCGCCGAGUUAAUUUAUACAGCACGGUUAAGGAAUUGGAAUUCCGGAGCCCCAGCGAAAGCGAGUCCUAAUAGGGCGUUUAGUUGUAUGGAUUAGACCCGAAACCGAGUGAGCUACCCAUGGCCAGGUUGAAGCCCAGAUAGUCUCUGGGUGAAGGACCGAACCCGUGUAUGGUACAAAAUGCUGGGAUGAGCUGUGGGUAGGGGUAAAAUGCCAAUCGAACUCGGAGAUAGCUGGUUCUCCCCGAAAUGUAUUUAGGUACAGCGUUUAGAUAUAGUCUUAUGGAGG
rnacentral:rRNA from 1 species